GUGCUCGCUUCGGCAGCACAUACACUAAAAUCGGAAAGAUACAGAGAAGAUCAGCAUGGCCCCCGUGCAAGGAUGACGCGCACAUUUGUGAAGCGUUCCAUAUUUUU
rnacentral:snRNA from 1 species